rnacentral:tRNA from 1 species
AGUUAUAUAGUCUAAAAAGGAUUUUAAAUUGCAAAUUUAAGGGUAAAUUUAUUUUAUAGCUU